rnacentral:rRNA from 1 species
GAUGAACGCUGGCGGCGUGCCUAAUACAUGCAAGUCGAGCGAACGGACGAUAAGCUUGUUUCUCUGAUGUUAGCGGCGGACGGGCGAGUAACACGUGGAUAACCUACUUAUAAUACUUGGAUAAUUUCGGGAAACCGGUUCUAAUACCGGCUGAUAUUUUGAACCGCAUGGUUCAAAAGUGAAUGACGGCUUUGCUGUCACUUAUAGCUGGAUCCGCGCUGCAUUAGCUAGUUGGUAAGGUAACGGCUUACCAAGGCAACGAUGCGUAGCCGACCUGAGAGGGUGAUCAGCCACACUGGAACUGAGACACGGUCCAGACUCCUACGGGAGGCAGCAGUAGGGAAUCUUCCGCAAUGGGCGAAAGCCUGACGGAGCAACGCCGCGUGAGUGAUGAAGGUCUUCGGGUCGUAAAACUCUGUUGUUAGGGAAGAACAUAUGUGUAAGUAACUGUGCACAUCUUGACGGUACCUAAUCAGAAAGCCACGGCUAACUACGUG